AACGCACAUUGCGCCCGCCAGUACUCUGGCGGGCAUGCCUGUCCGAGCGUCGCUCCGACCCGUCAAGCCCGGCUUGUGUUGGGGCCCCUGCGGCUGCCGCAGGCCCCUAAAGGGAGUGGCGGGAUCGUCGCCGCGCCGAGCGUAGUACAGCACGUCGCUCCGGCGCGGGGGCGGCCCCCUGCCGUAAAACCGGACCCUUAAAUAGUGACCUCGGAUCAGGUAGGAAUACCCGCUGAACUUAA
rnacentral:misc_RNA from 1 species